rnacentral:rRNA from 1 species
AGAGUUUGAUCCUGGCUCAGGAUGAACGCUGGCGGUGUGCCUAACACAUGCAAGUCGAACGAGAAGCCAUCUUCGGAUGGUGGACAGUGGCGAACGGGUGCGUAACACGUAGCUAUCUGCCCCAGAGAGCGGGAUAACGUCUGGAAACAGACGCUAAUACCGCAUACCCUUCUACGGAAGGAAAGCUCCGGCGCUCUGGGAUGAGGCUGCGGCCCAUCAGGUAGUUGGUGAGGUAAUGGCUCACCAAGCCAACGACGGGUAGGGGACCUGAGAGGGUGGCCCCCCACACUGGGACUGAGACACGGCCCAGACUCCUACGGGAGGCAGCAGUGAGGAAUCUUGCGCAAUGGACGAAAGUCUGACGCAGCGACACCGCGUGGGCGAAGAAGGUUUUCGGAUCGUAAAGCCCUUUUCUGUGUGACGAGAACGGACGGUAGCACAGGAAUAAGUCUCGGCUAACUACGUGCCAGCAGCCGCGGUAAAACGUAGGAGGCAAGCGUUAUCCGGAGUUACUGGGCGUAAAGCGCGCGCAGGCGGAUGGUUAAGUCAUUUAUGAAAGCUCCCGGCUAAACUGGGAGAGGAUGAAUGAAACUGGCCGUCUAGAGGGCAGGAGAGGAAGGUAGAAUUCCGCGUGUAGUGGUGAAAUGCGUAGAUAUGCGGAGGAAUACCAGUGGCGAAAGCGGCCUUCUGGCCUGCUCCUGACGCUGA